AAAUUGAAGAGUUUGAUCAUGGCUCAGAUUGAACGCUGGCGGCAGGCCUAACACAUGCAAGUCGAACGGUAACAGGAAGCAGCUUGCUGCUUUGCUGACGAGUGGCGGACGGGUGAGUAAUGUCUGGGAAACUGCCUGAUGGAGGGGGAUAACUACUGGAAACGGUGGCUAAUACCGCAUAACGUCGCAAGACCAAAGAGGGGGACCUUCGGGCCUCUUGCCAUCAGAUGUGCCCAGAUGGGAUUAGCUAGUUGGUGAGGUAACGGCUCACCAAGGCGACGAUCCCUAGCUGGUCUGAGAGGAUGACCAGCCACACUGGAACUGAGACACGGUCCAGACUCCUACGGGAGGCAGCAGUGGGGAAUAUUGCACAAUGGGCGCAAGCCUGAUGCAGCCAUGCCGCGUGUAUGAAGAAGGCCUUAGGGUUGUAAAGUACUUUCAGCGGGGAGGAAGGUGUUGCGGUUAAUAACCGCAGCAAUUGACGUUACCCGCAGAAGAAGCACCGGCUA
rnacentral:rRNA from 2 species